UCGCUAUGUUUCCGGUUUCGGAUUUUAUCAGGGAAGCAUGUGAAGUUUACUUUUGUUUAACUACCUUUUGUUCAACGAUGAAGGGAUCUGAGACUUGUAGUACUGUUUACUGAUUUGGUAAGUGCCGUUUAUAAACAGUAGUUAAUGAAGAUUCUCUAAUAUAUUUGAAACUUUCACUGAAAUAAGUCGGUCUUUUACCCGGAAGUGAAUCCAAAACAUACCGAGGGAAAUUUAUGAAAUUUAUCUUGUGGCCACUAAACACAGAUGAUUUCACUAUGCCUGUGUAUUUAAUAUAAAAUGGCCAGUUGGGUUAUCACAAAGAUUAUUGAAGGCAGGCAGCUUCUUACUCGAGGUGACCAGGAUUCAUCAAAUAAUUUUAGUUCAUUUUCCAUAGUAAGCAUUAUUAUGGAAAAAUACAAUAUACAUGUAGCAAUGAUAAUUAAUAAAUUUGAUGCAGACUUAUAGAUGCCUGCCUAUGUCACAUCAUUUCUCAAAAAGUCCCCUCUCAAGUAGAAGCCAAGGUAUUUUAAAAGGAAAUAUGCAGAUGUCCGUUACCGUACGCCUACCCUGCAUUCUAGCUGUCCGGCGACAAUAUUACUAGCCUCUCCGCGAAUGUUUUUCUAGCAGUUCGGCGAUCUUUUUAUAUAUGAAUACUGUAAGGAAAUAAAUUUAUUGUAUCAUUUUUUUGGUAUAGGUUUGAAUAUUCACCUGUAAGGUGUAUACACUAUUUUAAAAUUGAUUACCGGAUACCUAGAAAACCCCUAUAGGAUAGAAAUUUGGAUAGGCUAGGCGUCCUGUUACCGGUUGGCUAGAACACCGGCUAGGUUUCUGGUUACCGGAUGUUUAGACACUUCCAUUUAUAAAAUGGUAACCGUUUUUGCUGUGGGUCUCUUAAGUCAUGUUAUUUCUGUCUGGUGACUACUCUCUUUCCAUUAUUGUUGAUUCAGAAUGUUUUGUAACAGGAUGAUUUUUUGAAAUUUUUGAGCCUUGCUGUGUGUAAAACAAUUUAUGAUCCUUUAAAAAAUAGAUUUAUAGUAUAAUAACUUUUAUAGUAUUUUGUGGUAAGUUAAUUAAACCUUUCACAAUCACAUUAUUAAUUUAGUAUUCAUGAAGUUUUUGAUUUUUAGUGAUGUUUACAGUACAUGUAAUGUAUCUUCUUUCAGAUAAUUAUACCCCACCAAACAUGUUUGAGGGGGGUAUAUAGGAGUCAGUUUUGUCGCGUCCCGUCGCGUCCCGUCCCGUCCCGUCGCGUCCCGAAAUCUAUUAUCUCAGUUAUUACCAAAUGGAUUUGAUUCAAACUUAAAAUACAUAUUCCACCUUAUCACCAACAUCAUGUGACACAAGGUGCAUAACUCUUGACACCAAGUUUUCAUGAAUUAUGUCCCCUUUUACUUAGAAUUUAAGGUUAAUUUUGUUGUAUUUUCACUAUAUCUCAGUUAUUACUAAAUGGAUUUGAUUCAAACUUAAAAUAGAUGUUCCACCUCAUCACCCACAUCAUUUGACACAAGGUGCAUAUCUCUGACACCAUUUUUUUAAUGAAUUAUGCCCUUUUUUACUUAGAAUUUAAGGUUGAUUUUGAUGUAUUUUCACUAUAUCUCAGUUACUACUGAAUGGAUUUGAUUCAAACUUAAAAUAGAUGUUCCACCUCAUCACCCACAUCAUGUGCCCACAUCAUGUGACACAAGGUGCAUAACUCUGACACCAAGUUUUCAUGAAUUAUGUCCCCUUUUACUUAGAAUUUAAUGUUAAUUUUGUUGUAUUUUCACUAUAUCUCAGUUAUUACUAAAUGGAUUUGAUUAAAACUUAAAAUAGUUGUUCCACCUCAUCACCCAGAUGAUGUGACAUAAGGAGCUUAACUCUGACAUAAAUUUUUUAUGAAUUAUGUCCCCUUUUACUUUAAAUUUAAGGUUGAUUUUGAUGUAUUUUCACUAUAUCUCAAUUAUUACAAAAUGGAUUUGAUUCAAACUUAAAAUAGAUGUUCCGUCUCAUCACCCACAUCAUGUGACACAAGGUGCGUAACUCUGACACCAAUUUUUCAUGAAUUAUGCCCCUUUUUACUUAGAAUUUAAGGUUGAUUUUGAUGUAAUUUCAUUAUAUCUCAGUUACUACUGAAUGGAUUUGAUUCAGACUUAAAAUAGAUGUUCCACCUCAUCACCCACAUCAUGUGACACAAGGUGCAUAACUCUGACACUAAUUUUUCUUGAAUUGUGUCCCCUUUUACCUAGAAUUUAAGGUUAAUUUUGAUGUAUUUUCACUAUAUCUCAUUCUGAUUGGCUUAGAGCCAAAGGGAAGUAACCUUUUUUUUAACUUUUGUACUGAGUUUCUUCCCCUUAAAUUCCAGGAAUUAGUCUAUAUUUAGAAAUCCUAUUUUUAGAUUUGCAAUAUUUUAGGUAUUUUUCUAACUUUUUUAUUAUAAGUCCUAUGUAAAAAGUAAAAACAUUUUUCUGUGGUAACAUGGGUCGGUAAGACACUUUUUUUUUAUUCACUUUUAGUGUAUCUCUAAUAUUAGAGAUUUGAUAUAUUUACUAGUAUUACUAUACUAGUAUUAUACUAGUAUUACUUACAUGUGGAAGCCCAGGAUGAAGUACUCCAAAGUAUUUUUAAGAUUUCUUAUGGUUGCCAUUCUUCUAUGACAAGACCAUAUGGUGGGGGUAUGAGUCACUCCUGUGACAGUUCAAGUAUUCCUUGUUCCUUUGAUGGUUCAUUCCACUAUACAGCUGGUUCAUAUACCCUACAACAGCCAGGAAAUUGGUCUGUUUACUUUAAGAUCCCAAGAAAAUGUAACAUAUUUUGGAUGUGCUUUGAGGAAUCAGGAAGGCAAGUGUUUCCUCUUGUUUAUGAAGCAACUCAGUUGGUUAAGGGGCAGACAACUUGUGAGCAUGGUACAUCACUACCUGUAUUGGUAUUCCAUUUUGACAAUGCUGCUAGCUAGGAUAGAAAUAACAUCUUGCUGUGGUACGGUCUGUGGAGACUUUUACUAGGAUAUCACAGAUCGAUUGACUAUUCAACAAUGAUCACAUACCAUGCAAAGUUUGAAUUGAAUUUAGAAGAAUCUGUGAAGGAGGGUGAAUGCUGAGACCUUUAAUAAUACAUGAUAUUGCUGACACAGUGUGUCAGUCAUCAAAGAAAGGUCAUAACACUGCACAGUUGGUCAACAAUGAUUUACAUCCUGUCACAUUCUACCAGUGGAAAAUAUCUUAUCACAAUAUUUUAAACUUUUGAAGAAGAUAACCAAGUAUUACCACUUUAUCAUGUCUGCAGAAACACCUGGAUUGUUAGUGUUAAAAGUGACAGUCCAGUUAACUUACUAAAAUCUACUCCCCCUUAUUGACAUGGAAUGACACAAGCCUGACAAUGGUACCUGUAUGAACUCAUUAAAGAAUAGUAUUUGUCUGAAAAAUCAAAGGAUUCUGUUUGUCCCAAACCACUUCAACUGAAAACUGAAAUUGUGAUUGGCGGGGAUUUUUCUGAGAACUGAAAAAAAAGGAAGUGAAUGUAAAAGAUAGAAAUUGUUGUUGAAUUCAAACGUUUUAAUACACAACACUUUAGCCUGUUUUGCUGUUCAUAUAGAUGUGUUUAGCUGUUAAGGUUUAACAUCAAGUAAAGGUUGUAGUUUCAGUUACCUACAUUAAAGUAUUGGCUGGAAAUAAAUAUUUACUUUUCAACAGAGCUUGUAGCAGUGUAACCUUCAUCAAAAGUUAAGCUGUUGUGUUAAUUAUUAAAGUAUUUUUAGAAAAAGGAAUUUAGUAUGUAUGUUGCUAUGGUAACAUAAUUCAAAUUAUAUUUCAUUGGAAUUAUGGAUUUGUAUUUCAAUAAGGGAUCUACAGUAUAUAAUGCAAUGGUAAAAGAAUGUUCACUUCUUGUAUUGUCAGUUAUAACUAGCCAGUGAAAAAACAGAAUAUGAGGGAAGGGAUGACUGAAAUGUUUAUUCUUACAGAACUACUUUUGUUACAGAAAAUGGCUGUUUUAAAGUUUUUAUGUGAAAUUUUCAGUUUUCUUUCCUGAAUACUUAUACUUUCAAAUAUUUAACUUAUUAGAAAUACUUUUUUAAAAUAAGCUCUUGUUUUUAAGUAUUAUUGUAGGUAAAGGGAAUUUAAAACUUAUGUCGCCAUGGUAACACUAUUUUAGUAGAAAAUAUGGAAAAAUUUUAAUUAGCUGUACUUUCUAGUAUUCUACUUUAAAAUAAGCAUAAACAAUAAAAAAAAUCAAUAGUAAUAUAUGUUUCAUUUGUUUCAAAAUAGUUAUUUAUUACCAGCAGGUAAAAGGCAAGUUAUGAAGAAACAAUGACAGAAAUGUCUUAUUCUUAUAGUUAUUACUCAUGUUACAAACACUGUCAUAAAACAAAACAUUUUAAUUUUUUAACAUGAAAUUUUGAGAUAACAUUUUUGAAUACAUACCACUUUCUAAUAUUCAAGUUAUCUGAAUCACUUUUCCAAAUUUAGCUCUUUUUUAAAGUACUAUUGCAGAAAACAAUCAAAUGCAUAUGUUGCCAUGGUAACAUAAUUUAAUAAUGUUUUUAUAGAAAAUGUGAAGGACUUUGGCCAGCUAGAUCUUUGCACUUUAAGUGAAUAUCUAAAUAUUUUUUGUAAAAGAAGAUUCAUUUAUUUAAAACUAGCCAGUGAUUACCAAUAAGUGAAAACAAACUGAAGAAGCAACGACUGAAAUAGUUUAUUCUUGUGGUUAUUACCCGUGUUGUGAAAUCUGUCAUAAAACCGAACAUUUUAUAUCUUUUCACGUAUAUUUUUUUUAAAUUUUACUUUCGAAUACAUAUACUUCAUUAUAUUCAACUUACAAGAAACAUUAUUUUAAAUUAAGCUUUUAUUUUUAAGUACUAUUGUAGAAAAAGCAAUGUUUUGCAUAUGUUGCCAUGGUAACGCAAUUUGAAUAAUACUUUCAUAGAAAAUAUGAAAGAUUUAAAUUAGCUGUAUUUUUCUGUUUUAAGUAAGCAUCACAAAAAUAAAAUUUCAUAGUCAUAGAAGGUUCUUUUUUUCCAAAUUAGUCAUUUAUUAUCAGCAUGUAAAA